rnacentral:rRNA from 1 species
AGCGAACGCUGGCGGCAGGCUUAACACAUGCAAGUCGAACGGGCAUAGCAAUAUGUCAGUGGCAGACGGGUGAGUAACGCGUGGGAACGUACCUUUUGGUUCGGAACAACACAGGGAAACUUGUGCUAAUACCGGAUAAGCCCUUACGGGGAAAGAUUUAUCGCCGAAAGAUCGGCCCGCGUCUGAUUAGCUAGUUGGUAGGGUAAUGGCCUACCAAGGCGACGAUCAGUAGCUGGUCUGAGAGGAUGAUCAGCCACAUUGGGACUGAGGCACGGCCCAAACUCCUACGGGAGGCAGCAGUGGGGAAUAUUGGACAAUGGGCGAAAGCCUGAUCCAGCCAUGCCGCGUGAGUGAUGAAGGCCCUAGGGUUGUAAAGCUCUUUUGUGCGGGAAGAUAAUGACGGUACCGCAAGAAUAAGCCCCGGCUAACUUCGUG